AGGAGGAGGGCUUGGGUGUUGCCCUGGGAACCCCCCGAGAGGAGGAGAUGCUGGGAGAGGGGGUUGCUAGGGAACGCAGUCGUAGUUGAUGUGUUUGUGCUGCGGGAGCUGACACAAGGGGGUUUCCUUAGGAUAUGGUUGAAAGGACAUCACCGAAAUUCAAUAAUGUUAUGAAAGUGUUUGUUAAGCCAAGCAUCGAUGUCUUGAAGUUACAUUUGGAUUCAAUUUGUUUCGUUUGUAGUGUACUCCUAUUAUGUUUCAAUUUCACUCAGGGGAUGAACCCCAAGUCAAUCUGGUUAUUCUGGCUUGCUGGGGGAAUUCAUUUUAAGAAGAUAUCCUUUAUUGCCAAUUCGGUCAGGUUCAUUCCCUGAAUAUGUCCUGAUUAAAGGUGUAAUAACAAGCCAAAACAGGAAACCGAAUAAUAAACGCAGGGCUACAUGACUCACAGUAUUGCGAAACACUGCAGUACCACGGUGAAUACAUAGCCAUUGCCAUAGAGUUCAAUCUUCAUAGUUGAGGGACGAGCACUGAAUGCGCGCUAUGCUCCGGCACACACUGUUUGGUAUCCAAGGCUCAGGCUGUCGCUGUCUGGGACUUCCACAGAGCACCUGCGGACCCGUUCUUUGAAGCCCGCCCUCACGCUCAGUCCUCUUGGAGGAGCUGAGGCAAUACUGCCGACAAGCGGGAACCUGUGGGUGACAUGGUCAGGGUACGAUUGGAUUUUGGGCCACAAAGUCUUUGAUCUGCCUCAUCUGACGUACGUGGCUGCUGCUGUCAGAGAGGAAUAACACGCUGCAGACUGUUUCCAGGAACAUCGCAGGACUCUGAGGACUCGGGCCAAGAUGUGCUGAUCAAAAGGCUGUCGGUCACGUGGAGACCCGGGGAGAGAGGCUGGGGAAGCAGCAUGGAGCCAGACACUCCUCCUUCGAGUUCUCCUCCUCCUCAUAUCAACACAACAAACACAUCCAGUGCAAGAUAUUGAAACAAGGGAUGAUGGUAUAUUAUUUUGGGCCUCAUAUUGUCUAUAAUAUACAAGGACAAAAAAAGUCAGUGUGAUGUGACUUGGCUUACAAUUGUGAUCUAAUAUUAUGUGUGAAUGUCAUGUUUGAUUGAGAAUAUAAUAUAAUUGAGGAUAUGUACUGUUUAUGAUUAGCUUUUAUUGACUGAUUGAAUACUUACCCACAGUAUAGUCUACCAAGUCGUGUGGCCGGAUGCAUCCCUGAGGGAGUUUCUUAGAAAUUGCCUCAAUUGCCCCCCUGGUUGAUUAGGAUAAUUAACCUUUACCAUUAGAAUGUGUAGCCAGACACAACUGAAAGUUUUCUAUUCACCCGACUGAAACCGGGUCAAUAGAGUGUCAAUGGAAUGAUCUGCCGUUCCUCCUGAAUGCACUUUGUUGUAAAUAGAUGGAGGCCUGAUGGAGCAAAAGGUGAUCAGAAUGCCUCAAAUGGGUUAACGCUCUGUUAAGUCGUGAUGCAGCCCCAUCAGGCUGCUUAGAUGGGCUAUUUCUGGAGAUGAAUAUUGGAUAGUAUUUGUUUACCAGACCUUCUCUCAGCUUUCACUCAUCACAGCUUUUCUUACACGCUUGAGUAUGACACAUUGUCACAUUAUUGGUACAUGUUAUUUAACAAUUCCUUACAGCAAAUAGACACACAGAAACUGUGUCUCAGAGUCUGUCAAAGUCUGACUUUAUAUCUAGGGCAGAUAUGUCAAAGUCUGUCGUUAAAUGAUGAGAAAGCAGGGAUUCUGCUACUUGAUUGAAUAUGAUUUUUGCUGUGAUUUUCCUUAGAGGUGUUGGUAAAGUGUCUGUGCCAGACAGCUAUCCUAUACCAGAGACAUUGGAUCAAAGGUGUUACAUCAUUCAUUCUUCUCUGGAACGGACUUGGCAGAGACUCCCCUGCAGAGCCAUCACUCAAUGUCUGCCAAUGAACACACACUUACCUCGACUCUAAGAAACACACACUUACCUCGACUCUAAGAAACACACACUUACCUCGACUCUAAGAAACACACACUUACCUCGACUCCAAGAAACACACACUUCCCUGGACUCCAAGCCCUCGCAGUCCCGAUCAAGACUUAGCCGGGAGGAAGAGCAAGACCCCAUUCAGGAUCCACUGUUUGCGGUCAUUACAUGCUGGUGGACACCGGGGCGGGUCACUGAUCUCCGACACCAUUCCGCCCCGAGCCCGGUGACUAAAACACCCAGAUGUGCACAUGACUGGCUUAUUCCGAAGGAUUUAUGGCCUUUCAAUGAAGUGGGGGGCCAACAGAGCCCUAUUAACUUUUUUUAAAUGACUUGGUUUAAAAUAUGUUUCUCACACACCAUGACUAAGUUAGGAACACAGUGAUGUGACAGAAUGUUAUCCCAUUUUCACAGGCUAAAUAUAUGGCCUAUAAAUACGCUAAUCGUGAAUGUG